GCCGGGUGUGGUGGCAAGCCUGUAAUCCCAGGGUCUCAGGAGGCUGAGGCAGGAGGAUCGAAAGUUCAUAGCCAGCCUCAGCAAAAAAUGAGGCACUAAGCAACUCAGUGAGAUCCUGUCUCUA
rnacentral:sRNA from 1 species